rnacentral:misc_RNA from 1 species
CGUAAAGGUGCAUGAGUGGUGUUUGGUUUGUUAGGGUGGUUGGCUCUUUGCUUGCGCAACAACUUCCACCUGGCAUACCUCCUCAGUUAUGCGGCAAGGCUUGUAUCGCCUUGAGCGUAUCGUGGGUUUCCUGUGUUGCAUACCUAAUCGAUGGUAUCGUUUGGAUCGAUYGAAGUCCCUUUUCAUCAUGCGUUGCACUCGUGACAUGUGAUGAACCUCAAAGUGGUCUCUAUGUUCCAUUUCAUUGAUGCUCUCAUGCGUCGAUGGUGUGGCMCAUUGAGCAUUGCUUGGUCUCUUGGAUAUAGAACCUGAUGCGGGCAUGGGGUCUCACACGAUCCUUUUUUUGCCCUCGUUCAGUGUUCUCUAAACGACGGUUCACGCGCGCCUAGGCUCGUACCUGCGCGGUGUUCUAUGUCGAAGAGGAAUGCUACCUGGUUGAUCCUGCCAGUAGUCAUAUGCUUGUCUCAAAGAUUAAGCCAUGCAUGUGUAA